CUACGGGUGGCACCAGUGGGGAAUCUUAGACAAUGGGGGAAACCCUGAUCUAGCCAUGCCGCGUGAGCGACGACGGCCCUAGGGUUGUAAAGCUCUUUCAGCAGGGAAGAUAAUGACGGUACCUGCAGAAGAAGUCCCGGCUAACUCCGUGCCAGCAGCCGCGGUAAUACGGAGGGGACUAGCGUUGUUCGGAAUUACUGGGCGUAAAGCGCGCGUAGGCGGAUUGUUAAGUCGGGGGUGAAAUCCCGGGGCUCAACCCCGGAACUGCCCUCGAUACUGGCAGUCUUGAGUUCGAGAGAGGUGAGUGGAAUUCCGAGUGUAGAGGUGAAAUUCGUAGAUAUUCGGAGGAACACCAGUGGCGAAGGCGGCUCACUGGCUCGAUACUGACGCUGAGGUGCGAAAGCGUGGGGAGCAAACAGGAUUAGAUACCCGGGUAGUC
rnacentral:rRNA from 1 species